AAAUAUUCAAGCACUUGGCGCGAGCUUAGAGUCUCGUGGCCUGAUUGAAGCAGCUCAUCUUUGCUACAUAUUAGCAGGAGAAGAAAUUAGUAAACAGAGUGGCACACUGUUACUAGGUUAUUCUUCGAAUGAAAUCCGACCAGAAUUCGUGGAUUUCCUGGCUCUUCAACGCACAGAGAUAUAUGAAUACGCUAUGAGCCUCAAAGAUGAAAAUUUUAUAAUAAAAGACUUCCAG